rnacentral:rRNA from 1 species
AGUGAACGCUGGCGGUAGGCCUAACACAUGCAAGUCGAACGGCAGCACAGUAAGAGCUUGCUCUUACGGGUGGCGAGUGGCGGACGGGUGAGGAAUACAUCGGAAUCUACUUUUUCGUGGGGGAUAACGUAGGGAAACUUACGCUAAUACCGCAUACGACCUACGGGUGAAAGCAGGGGAUCCUCGGACCUUGCGCGAUUGAAUGAGCCGAUGUCGGAUUAGCUAGUUGGCGGGGUAAAGGCCCACCAAGGCGACGAUCCGUAGCUGGUCUGAGAGGAUGAUCAGCCACACUGGAACUGAGACGCGGUCCAGACUCCUACGGGAGGCAGCAGUGGGGAAUAUUGGACAAUGGGCGCAAGCCUGAUCCAGCCAUACCGCGUGGGUGAAGAAGGCCUUCGGGUUGUAAAGCCCUUUUGUUGGGAAAGAAAAGCAGCAGGUUAAUACCCCGCUGUUCUGACGGUACCCAAAGAAUAAGCACCGGCUAACUUCGU